rnacentral:lncRNA from 1 species
UAGCAAUUUUUUUAAAAUAAAAAAAAAACUUCAAAUACCAUCCUGUAGUUUCAUACUUUCUCACUUUACUACAUUAUGGUUUAAAGUGUAUCACCUUCGUAUCCUGUGAUUUUAUUUUUUCUCUUUUUGUUAUCCCUUUAUUAAUUUUUUUCGUUAAAUCAGUGAUAAAGAUAAAAACAAAAGAGUACUAAAGUGAAUAUUCGAUAAACUAUAGUAGAGUGUCGGGAAUUUUUUGUACAUUAUUUAAUGAAAAGUUAACGGAAGGGGAGACGAAGAGAGAAAAAUAAAACCAUAAAGUACAAAGUUGAUACAUUUUAAAUCAUAAGAUACUAAAGUGAGAAAGUGAGAAACUGCAAGAGUGGUAUUUAAAAUUUAU